rnacentral:rRNA from 1 species
UAGGGAAUCUUCCGCAAUGGACGCAAGUCUGACGGAGCAACGCCGCGUGAGUGAUGAAGGUUCUCGGAUCGUAAAGCUCUGUUGCCCUAGACGAACAGCAGGGGGAGUAACUGCCCUCUGUGUGACGGUAUAGGAGAAGAAAGCCCCGGCUAACUACGUGCCAGCAGCCGCGGUAAUACGUAGGGGGCAAGCGUUGUCCGGAAUUAUUGGGCGUAAAGCGCGCGCAGGCGGCAAUUUAAGUCUGGUGUUUAAUCCCGGGGCUCAACCCCGGUUCGCAUCGGAAACUGGAAUGCUUGAGUGUAGGAGAGGAAAGUGGAAUUCCACGUGUAGCGGUGAAAUGCGUAGAGAUGUGGAGGAACACCAGUGGCGAAGGCGACUUUCUGGCCUAUAACUGACGCUGAGGCGCGAAAGCGUGGGGAGCAAACA